rnacentral:rRNA from 1 species
GCCCUUAGAGUUUGAUCCUGGCUCAGGAUGAACGCUAGCUACAGGCUUAACACAUGCAAGUCGAGGGGAAACGACAUCGAAAGCUUGCUUUUGAUGGGCGUCGACCGGCGCACGGGUGAGUAACGCGUAUCCAACCUGCCCAUCACUUGGGGAUAACCUUGCGAAAGUAAGACUAAUACCCAAUGAUAUCUCUAGAAGACAUCUGAAAGAGAUUAAAGAUUUAUCGGUGAUGGAUGGGGAUGCGUCUGAUUAGCUUGUUGGCGGGGUAACGGCCCACCAAGGCGACGAUCAGUAGGGGUUCUGAGAGGAAGGUCCCCCACAUUGGAACUGAGACACGGUCCAAACUCCUACGGGAGGCAGCAGUGAGGAAUAUUGGUCAAUGGACGAGAGUCUGAACCAGCCAAGUAGCGUGCAGGAUGACGGCCCUAUGGGUUGUAAACUGCUUUUAUAAGGGAAUAAAGUGAGUCUCGUGAGACUUUUUGCAUGUACCUUAUGAAUAAGGACCGGCUAAUUCCGUGCCAGCAGCCGCGGUAAUACGGAAGGUCCGGGCGUUAUCCGGAUUUAUUGGGUUUAAAGGGAGCGUAGGCCGGAGAUUAAGCGUGUUGUGAAAUGUAGACGCUCAACGUCUGCACUGCAGCGCGAACUGGUUUCCUUGAGUACGCACAAAGUGGGCGGAAUUCGUGGUGUAGCGGUGAAAUGCUUAGAUAUCACGAAGAACUCCGAUUGCGAAGGCAGCUCACUGGAGCGCAACUGACGCUGAAGCUCGAAAGUGCGGGUAUCGAACAGGAUUAGAUACCCUGGUAGUCCGCACGGUAAACGAUGGAUGCCCGCUGUUGGUCUGAAUAGGUCAGCGGCCAAGCGAAAGCAUUAAGCAUCCCACCUGGGGAGUACGCCGGCAACGGUGAAACUCAAAG